rnacentral:rRNA from 1 species
AUUGAACGCUGGCGGCAGGCCUAACACAUGCAAGUCGAGCGAGCGGCGGCCGGGUGAGUAAUGUAUGGGGACUGCCCGAUAGAGGGGGAUAACUACAGGACACGGUAGCUAAUACCGCAUACUAUCGGAAAACCCAUAUGGGAUUAGCUAGUAGGUGAGGUAAUGGCUCACCUAGGCGACGAUCCCGAGCUGGUGUGAGAGGAUGAUCAGCCACACGGGGACUGAGACACGGCCCAGACGCCGACGGAGGCAGCAGUGGGGAAUUGUGGACAAUGGGCGAAAGCCUGAUGCAGCCAGGCCGCGUGUAUGAAGAAGGCCCUAGGGUUGUAAAGUACUUUCAGUCGGGAGGCGGUACCGACAGAAGAAGCACCGGCUAACUCCGUGCCAGCAGCCGCGGUAAUUC